UAAAAGAGGGAUGCAACACGAG
rnacentral:siRNA from 1 species